rnacentral:lncRNA from 1 species
GUGGUGUUAAUCGAAGGAUCAAGCUUGCAGUAGCUUCUCCUGAUCUGAGGGAUACCUUGAGAAGUGCAACCUACAGCAGAUCUCUCAUGGGCUGCCAGAUGUGUUUAGGGCACCAGGAAGUCAACAGAAAGCUGUCCCCAGUGUUCUUCACUUGGCAUCACCUUGUGAACAAGCACCAAGUCUCGAUGAAUGGGAGGGGACUCACGACUUCCACCUGGAGCACGGUGUCUAUUCGAUCCACUCUGGAGUCUCAGCAGGAAUCGGAAUUCAUCCUGCAGGUCUUCUCCAGGAGGCACGUUAUUAGACAGAUGCAAAUAACAGGAAUGGCAAAUAAUGGUUGGCAUGUGAAGAGGAGCUGGAUGAUGAAGUAUACUGCGACAGCAAUACUGACAUGAAAUUGAAAGGAACUCCUGGCAAACAAAUUAAUCAGCUAGAGCAGGACACACUACUGCAUAUGCUGGAGGUUUUCUGGGUAUGGAUAUUGCACACAUU